UACAGAGGGUGCGAGCGUUAAUCGGAAUUACUGGGCGUAAAGCGUGCGUAGACGGUUAUUUAAGUCGGGUGUGAAAGCCCCGGGCUCAACCUGGGAAUUGCAUUCGAGACUGAAUAGCUAGGGUACGGUAGAGGGAAGCGGAAUUUCCGGUGUAGCGGUGAAAUGCGUAGAUAUUCGCAAGAACACCAGUGGCGAAGGCGGCUCACUGGCCCGGUACUGACGCUGAGGUGCGAAAGCGUGGGGAGCAAACAGG
rnacentral:rRNA from 1 species